AAGGCUUUGGCGACGGCCUCCUGCACACGAUCAGUUGGUUCAUCCUCCAGCUUGCGGAGACCCCUUGCCGAACUCUUCCCGACUGGGCAACGAUUUUCCAGUUUCGCUAUCGCUGUAGCUUCAGCAUGGAAAGAGAUCUAGUUCUAGCCGGUAAGGGGUUUUAAGAGGUAAUUCGGAGGGUGA